GCCUCAGUGGUGUAGUGGUAGAGCACGCCCCCCCCCCUCCCGGAUAGGAUGAAACGUGGGUUCGAUUCCCGCCUGAGGUC